UCCUUCCGUCCUGUGAUGUAGACGGUAGCGCCUGCCUCGCAGAGCUGCAGGGCUAUCCCUUUCCCAAUGCCUCUGGAGGCACCUGUGACCACGCAGAUCCAACCGGACAGGGACAUGUUCUCUGCGGACCGCAGAUACAUCGACCAACAAAGAAAUCUUCAGAAAAGGUGAGUGACCCCUGACCUUCCUGACCUCAAACUAACAAAGUAUAUCAGAAAAAAAUGCUUUUCAUUCACCCUUGCAUGACUGAUCCAGCAUGUGCGCAUUUGUGCAAGAGUGAUGAUGACGUUUUUAGAAAUACAAACGGCAAUAUAUUUCAAAAGUUUCCGUUACCGUUUUCAGCUCGGAUCUUCUUGGACAGACGAUGUUCGGUAGUGAGUGGCAACAAUGAGAGGCACGACACAACUUAAAGCAAAAAAAAGUGCAGCGUCAUUUAGGUUCUUCUUGUGGCCAUGGUCAACAAGAAAAAAAAGAAAAAAAAACCACAACGGGGCGUGUAGAGCAAUUGGUCACCAUUCACGUGAUGACGCCAGUGCAUUUCCGAUUACUCCAUAGUUAUGGAAUGGGGGAAAGAGUGAGCGGCACAAAGGUCAACAGGUAAGUAGUAGUUGCAGUUAUUGCACUGACUCGAGUUAUUAAAAAAUAACCAGCCGAAAUGACCACAUACUAAGAAAAACAAGACUUUGCAUCCAGUGUAAAAGGAGACAUAUGUAAAUUCGAAAUAUUAUGCAAAUGUAGAAAAUGAGCAGCUGUUAAUUGCCAUUUAAAUUGACCAGAAAUAUUAUUUCAUAUUCAGUGCAAUAAAUAAAUAAAUCUAUAACUGAUUGAAUUCAGAUAA